rnacentral:rRNA from 1 species
ACGCUCGACACCUACGGGAAGCAGCAGUUGGGAAUAUUGGACAAUGGAGGGAAACUCUGAUCCAGUGACGCCGCGUGAAGGAAGAAGGUCUUCGGAUUGUAAACUUAUUUUGUCAGGGAAGAAAAAUGACUGUACCUGAAGAAAAGCACCGGCUAACUACGUGACAGCAGCCGCGGUAAUCUGAGCGGGCUGGCAAGGC